GCCCCAACCCAUUUGGCCCGUCAGAUGGUAAAACGACCCGCCUAACCCCAGAAACGACGCCACCAACUUCCCCCUUAGUCUUCUCGAAUCUUCGUCUCUUCCGGCGUCGCAUCGUUUCUCCUCCCAAUUCGCCCCCCAAAACCCAAAAUUAGGGUUUUCCUUACCCAAUUCUUCCUCCCAAUUCGCCCAAUUUACAUGCUAUGCCAAGGCCGCGCCAUGUCCGAUCGGACUUGUAGGGUUUCAGCUCGGACCGGGCUGUCCGAUGCCGCCGAUUCGCAAACAUUCUAGAGGAGCGAAAUCGGGUGAAUCCAUGGGGAAUUCGAAGCCUGGGUCCGACCAAGAGUCGUGCUCGAGAUCGAUCAGCGAGACCGUGAACGGGUCGCACCGGUUCACGAUAAAGGGGUAUUCGUUGGCCAAAGGUAUGGGCGCUGGGAAGUACCUGAUGAGCGAUACGUUCGCAGUGGGCGGAUACGAUUGGGCAAUUUACUUUUACCCCGACGGUAAAAACCCGGAGGAUAGCAACGCCUACGUCUCGGUUUUCAUUGCUUUGGUUAGUGAGGGUACGGAUGUGAGGGCUUUGUUCGAGCUGACGUUGGUGGACCAGACGGAUAGUGGGAAGGACAAGGUGCACAGUCACUUUGAUCGCGCGCUCGAGGGCGGACCGUACACGCUGAAGUACAGAGGCAGUAUGUGGGGUUACAAGAAAUUCUUCAGAAGAUCACUCCUAGAAACUUCUGAGUUCCUUAAGGAUGAUUGCCUUGUAUUGAACUGCACUGUUGGAGUUGUAAGAACUCGCCUUGAGCAACCAAAACAAUUUACAAUCACUGUUCCAUCAUCAGACAUGGGACGAGACCUGAAGGACUUUCUAGAUUCUGAAGCUGGUUGUGACAUAGUUUUUCAGGUUGGUGAUGAACAGUUUAAAGCUCACAAGUUGAUACUUGCUGCUAGGUCUCGUGUAUUUAGAGCGCAGUUUUAUGGACUUGUCGGGGAUUGUAACGUACAUAAAGUAGUUGUGGAGGAUGUUGAGCCCUUCAUCUUUAAGGCAAUGCUUCUCUUUAUUUACACAGACAAAUUUCCUGAUAUACAUGAAGUUAUGGGCUCAUCACCUUUGUGCACAUUCACUGUCAUGGUGCAGCAUCUGUUGGCAGCUGCAGACCUGUAUAAUCUAGAUCGACUGAAAUUGUUGUGUGAAUCAAAGUUGUGUAAAGAAAUCACUACUGAAACAGUGGCGACUACACUUGCUCUUGCCGAACAGCAUCAAUGUCGACAGCUCAAGGAUGUCUGUCUUAAAUUUGCAGCAAAUCCGUCAAACUUGGGAGGUGGGUGUUACCCAUAGAUUCUGAUGCUGCAAGGUUUCAGGAUGUCAAUAAGGAUGUUCCCUUAAAAUUUAUGAUAAUUCCAUUUGGGACGGUGGGACCUCUGGUCAGCCUUUCCGUCUGGGUCCUCUGGUCAGCCUAUGGUGACAACUUGAUAUCUGGCUGAUCGAGGGGCAGCAUUCUGAGAAUGCCGUAAUGCAAUCAGAUGGGUACAAGCAUCUCGAAGAGAGCUGCCCAUCAAUGUUGGUAGAGCUGCUGGAGACAUUUGCAUCGGUAGAUGACAAUUCUAGUCUUCUGUCAAGCCGGAAGAGGAGUGGUAGCAGCAUAUACGGGCUAGAUUUGCCAGCAGAUGGGGGUGGGACCGUAGCAGAAUCAGCAAAUCCCAAUGGCAGGCGCGUGAGGCGGCGGUAUUAGUGUAUGUAGUUUCCUUUAGGUGCCACAAGCCUGAAAGGAGUGGUAGUCAUGAAUGGCGAUCGUGUAUUUGUCACGUAUCGCCUCUCAUUGUGUUAGGCACUCCUUGUAUAAAGGUUAAUUGUAAUUUCUUAUCAGAAUAUCAGGUCCUGUGGCCGGCACUGUUGUUGGAUGUGAAACUGAAAUUUGUAUGGUUACGUUGUGCGUUAUGUAGGAUUUGUAGGUAGACUCUCCUUUUCAAUGGAAUGUGAAAUUUAUUAGAGAAAAGCAUA